GACGAACGCUGGCGGCGUGCCUAAUACAUGCAAGUUGAGCGCUGAAGGUUGGUACUUGUACCCACUGGAUGAGCAGCGAACGGGUGAGUAACGCGUGGGGAAUCUGCCUUUGAGCGGGGGACAACAUUUGGAAACGAAUGCUAAUACCGCAUAAAAACUUUAAACACAAGUUUUAAGUUUGAAAGAUGCAAUUGCAUCACUCAAAGAUGAUCCCGCGUUGUAUUAGCUAGUUGGUGAGGUAAAGGCUCACCAAGGCGAUGAUACAUAGCCGACCUGAGAGGGUGAUCGGCCACAGUGGGACUGAGACACGGCCCAAACUCCUACGGGAGGCAGCAGUAGGGAAUCUUCGGCAAUAGACGAAAGUCUGAACGAGCAACGCCGCGUGAGUGAAGAAGGUUUUCGGAUCGUAAAACUCUGUUGGUAGAGAAGAACGUUGGUGAGAGUGGAAAGCUCAUCAAGUGACGGUAACUACCCAGAAAGGGACGGCUAACUACGUG
rnacentral:rRNA from 1 species